ensembl:lncRNA
CCCCCUUCCCCAUUCUUCUGCUCGCGUCCGACCCAGCGCCCUGGCCCCGACACCGAUCUAGUAAAACUCCGGGCUGCAGAUUCUACUGCGCGGGCGCUCACGCUUAGCGGUAGGGGCUGGAGGCGCUCAGCUUGCCGGGAGUUGUAGUUUUCUGGCUGUUACAGCGGAGACACCGGUGGCCAAUGGGUGAGCCGGAUAAAAACAGUUACUGAAGCUGCGAAUCGUCUGGCAGGCUCAAGGUCACCAUAGCAACAGUGAAGGCAGGAUGAAGCGCUAGCCCUGCAAGCCAGGCUGCCAUUUUUAUUCUUUCAUCUUUCUUGUUCGGUGCUCACUUUGCCCUGGACACUGUUCUAAGCACUGGCGAUACAGUGGGAGACAAAGUGGAGCUUCUGCUUUGACGGGGAAAGAUGGACUAUUAAUAACAAGGAGGAACACAUUGUUAGAGCAAAUCGCUAGAGCAAACGGACAAACUGCUACACAGGAUGUUCCCUCUGCAGAGAGUGCACUUCCCCAUUCUUACCCUGUCAAAUGCAUCCUUCAAGAUCCAGUUCUCUGAAGAAACUUCUGCUCUGUCCCGUUUUGCUGGCCAUAAACCUCUUCUUCCUCUGCACUCACAUCCGAUCCAUUUGUCACAAGAAAGCUGCCAGGGUGAAGGAGACAAGAGUGUGAUCCCUGGUCUGGGAAGAUCCCACAUGCUGGGGAGCAACUAAGUCCAUGAGCCACAACUACU